UACGUAGGUGGCAAGCGUUGUCCGGAUUUACUGGGCGUAAAGCGCGCGCAGGCGGUUCGUUAAGUCCGGUGUGAAAGCUCCCGGCUCAACUGGGAGAGGUCAUCGGAUACUGGCGAACUCGAGGAAGGUAGAGGAAGGUGGAAUUCCCGGUGUAGUGGUGAAAUGCGUAGAGAUCGGGAGGGACACCAGUGGCGAAGGCGGCCUUCUGGGCCUUUCCUGACGCUGAGGCGCGAAAGCGUGGGGAGCGAACCGG
rnacentral:rRNA from 1 species